GACGGAGGGUGCUAGCGUUGUUCGGAAUCACUGGGCGUAAAGGGCGCGUAGGCGGCCUUUUCAGUCGGGCGUGAAAGCCCGGGGCUCAACCCCGGAACGGCGCCCGAGACGGGAAGGCUGGAGACCGGGAGAGGAGGGUGGAAUAGCCAGUGUAGAGGUGAAAUUCGUAGAUAUUGGCUGGAACACCGGUGGCGAAAGCGGCUCUCUGGCCCGGGUCUGACGCUGAGGCGCGAAAGCGUGGGGAGCAAACAGG
rnacentral:rRNA from 1 species